AUGGAGGAUAUUGAGUGGAUAAGAGAUCUAAACAACGGAGAUGGUGGCUUUCACUGGAGAUUUGAAUCGGAGAAGAAGAGUCUAGUAGUGUCGCAGCGGAAGGAAGUAAAGAUGACUGGUGGAUACACGACGGCGAUGCACGAAGAAGAUGACGAGCAGCCGUCGCGAGCUGCAAGUGAGAGGGAAGAGUUGUGGUUUUCACAGAGAAGUUGA